rnacentral:tmRNA from 1 species
GGGAUUGAGGAAUCGCCGCCCAGCGCCUACAUGGGAUGUGCCGGCUUGCCGGCUAUGGCGAUAAAUGAUGCCGUGGAAUAGACGCAGCGGACCCGGGGGCAGUACCCGGCGGCUCCACCAUUCUCCAACCCGUUGUCGGGGCGAUGUUUGGGGCCGAACCAGAAUCGACGUGUGUUCAAAGACGAUGUUUUCGCCCGGCCUGAAUGCGCCGUAAAACCGUUCAAACACCACAAAUGCCAACGACAACGAGGCAUUCGCGAUCGCAGCGUAACUGAAGGUCUUCACCGACCAAAGGUUACACUGGCCGAAAGCGCGGCACGGGCCACGCCGGGCAACAGAAGUGGAUUCCA